rnacentral:rRNA from 1 species
UACAGAGGCCUCGAGCGUUAGGCGGAAUCACUGGGCUUAAAGCGUGUGUAGGCGGAGUGCUAAGUACCUUGUGAAAUCCCACAGCUCAACUGUGGAAUUGCUUGGUAUACUGGCAUUCUUGAGCCAUCUAGGGGCGAGCGGAACAAAUGGUGGAGCGGUGAAAUGCGUAGAUAUCAUUUGGAACGCCAACGGUGAAAACAGCUCGCUGGGGAUGUGCUGACGUUGAGACACGAAAGCCAGGGGAGCAAACGGG